CUACGUGCCAGCAGCCGCGGUCAUACGUAGGGUGCAAGCAUUAUCCGGAGUGACUGGGCGUAAAGAGUUGCGUAGGCGGUUUAAUAAGUGAAUAGUGAAACCUGGUGGCUCAACCAUACAGACUAUUAUUCAAACUGUUAAACUCGAGAAUGGUAGAGGUAACUGGAAUUUCUAGUGUAGGAGUGAAAUCCGUAGAUAUUAGAAGGAACACCGAUGGCGUAGGCAGGUUACUGGGCCAUUUCUGACGCUAAGGCACGAAAGCGUGGGGAGCGAACCGGAUUAGAUACCCGGGUAGUCCACGCCGUAAACGAUGGAUACUAGCUGUUGGAGGUAUCGACCCCUUCAGUAGCGAAGCUAACGCGUUAAGUAUCCCGCCUGUGGAGUACGGCCGCAAGGCUAAAACAUAAAGGAAUUGACGGGGACCCGCACAAGCGGUGGAUUAUGUUCUUUAAUUCGAUGAUAACCGAAGAACCUUACCAGGGCUUGAC
rnacentral:rRNA from 1 species